CCCCUUUUGGCGUUACUUUGCUAACU
rnacentral:misc_RNA from 1 species